GGCCCGCUCAUCUAGGGGUUAGGAUGCAAGAUUCUCAGUCUUGUCACAGGGGUUCGAUUCCCCUGCGGGCUGCCA
rnacentral:tRNA from 1 species